rnacentral:rRNA from 1 species
UACAUGGGGUGCAAACGUUGCUCGGAAUUAUUGGGCGUAAAGCGCGCGUAGGCGGUUACUUAAGUUCGGAUGUGAAAGCCCUCGGCUUAACUGAGGAAGUGCACCCGAAACUGAGUAGCUGGAGUACGAAAGAGGGUCGCGGAAUUCCCGGUGUAGAGGUGAAAUUCGUAGAUAUCGGGAGGAACACCGGUGGCGAAGGCGGCGACCUGGGUCGAGACUGACGCUGAGGCGCGAAAGCGUGGGGAGCAAACAGG